UGAGCAGUCCCGUACUGACUACUGACCCGUACUGACUACUAACCCGUACUUACUCAUACUGACCCAUACUGACUACUGACCUGUACUAACCUGUACUGACUACUGACCCGUACUGACUACUAACCCGUACUUACUCAUACUGACCCAUACUGACUACUGACCUGUACUAACCUGUACUGACUACUGACCCGUACUGACUACUAACCCGUACUUACUCAUACUGACCCAUACUAACCUGUACUGACUGUAGCUGGUCUGAUAUGAGUUGCUCACUGUCUGGUCUUUCUGCUGCGGUUUCUGCAUCUGCUGGUUCUGAUGUCUGCUUGCUUCCUCUCUCUUUCUCUGCGCUCUUCAUUUCCUCUCUCUCGCUCUCCUCAGGUGUGUCCACUCCGUCUCUCCUGGCGGGCAGCAGUCCGCUGCGCAGUGGGCUUUAGUAGCUCACUUGGUUUUUCCCAGCCUCUUCUUUAUUACUGUAAAGCAGGUCCAGGAGUGGCAGGUUAUCUGACAGCAGGCAGCGGCUCUACAGUCAUGCCGAGUGUCCCGCCGCCCGUAGACAACGACACCGGAGACUCAUGAAACACCAGACAAACCCGGACAC